GAUGAACGCUGGCGGCGUGCCUAAUACAUGCAAGUCGAGCGAACGGACGAGAAGCUUGCUUCUCUGAUGUUAGCGGCGGACGGGUGAGUAACACGUGGAUAACCUACCUAUAAGACUGGGAUAACUUCGGGAAACCGGAGCUAAUACCGGAUAAUAUUUUGAACCGCAUGGUUCAAAAGUGAAAGACGGUCUUGCUGUCACUUAUAGAUGGAUCCGCGCUGCAUUAGCUAGUUGGUAAGGUAACGGCUUACCAAGGCAACGAUGCAUAGCCGACCUGAGAGGGUGAUCGGCCACACUGGAACUGAGACACGGUCCAGACUCCUACGGGAGGCAGCAGUAGGGAAUCUUCCGCAAUGGGCGAAAGCCUGACGGAGCAACGCCGCGUGAGUGAUGAAGGUCUUCGGAUCGUAAAACUCUGUUAUUAGGGAAGAACAUAUGUGUAAGUAACUGUGCACAUCUUGACGGUACCUAAUCAGAAAGCCACGGCUAACUACGUGCCAGCAGCCGCGGUAAUACGUAGGUGGCAAGCGUUAUCCGGAAUUAUUGGGCGUAAAGCGCGCGUAGGCGGUUUUUUAAGUCUGAUGUGAAAGCCCACGGCUCAACCGUGGAGGGUCAUUGGAAACUGGAAAACUUGAGUGCAGAAGAGGAAAGUGGAAUUCCAUGUGUAGCGGUGAAAUGCGCAGAGAUAUGGAGGAACACCAGUGGCGAAGGCGACUUUCUGGUCUGUAACUGACGCUGAUGUGCGAAAGCGUGGGGAUCAAACAGGAUUAGAUACCCUGGUAGUCCACGCCGUAAACGAUGAGUGCUAAGUGUUAGGGGGUUUCCGCCCCUUAGUGCUGCAGCUAACGCAUUAAGCACUCCGCCUGGGGAGUACGACCGCAAGGUUGAAACUCAAAGGAAUUGACGGGGACCCGCACAAGCGGUGGAGCAUGUGGUUUAAUUCGAAGCAACGCGAAGAACCUUACCAAAUCUUGACAUCCUCUGACAACUCUAGAGAUAGAGCCUUCCCCUUCGGGGGACAAAGUGACAGGUGGUGCAUGGUUGUCGUCAGCUCGUGUCGUGAGAUGUUGGGUUAAGUCCCGCAACGAGCGCAACCCUUAAGCUUAGUUGCCAUCAUUAAGUUGGGCACUCUAAGUUGACUGCCGGUGACAAACCGGAGGAAGGUGGGGAUGACGUCAAAUCAUCAUGCCCCUUAUGAUUUGGGCUACACACGUGCUACAAUGGACAAUACAAAGGGCAGCGAAACCGCGAGGUCAAGCAAAUCCCAUAAAGUUGUUCUCAGUUCGGAUUGUAGUCUGCAACUCGACUACAUGAAGCUGGAAUCGCUAGUAAUCGUAGAUCAGCAUGCUACGGUGAAUACGUUCCCGGGUCU
rnacentral:rRNA from 1 species